AGAGAAGGAUCCAUGUCCAGCAUGAGUCAAUAUUUGGGAAGGAAGCAGAAAAAUGUUGGGAAGAAAAUUACAUGUGAUGGCUGGCAGCUUUCAGAGGCAUUGCUUGAGUACCAGGAAGGGAUGCCAUAAAGAAGAAGGGCUGACAAAGGUCCUCAACCCCAAGAAAUGGCAUCAGGAAAGAAAUAUCAGGACCAAGAUACUGGGUAUCCCAAACUGAGCGAGGCAGUAUGAGUGCAAUUUCGCUACUUACCCAUAUGGGGCAAAGGCUGCAAAAAUUCAACUUGUCAUCAAGGCAGAAGAAAUGUCUAUUGAACAAAAAGACUCACAAGACAGAGGUUUCUAUCAUCAGAUCUGUGCUUGAUGUUACGAGGAACCCACCAGAUAAGCGACCUGUUUUCCCUGUGCCUCAGAGGAAGUCCUUUGGAGAUGGCUUUCCUUGGGUAGCUGGCUUUGCACUGGCCAUGAUACAGCUAUGUUUCAGCAGUGGGUCAUGUGAACAUAUCAGAGAAAUGCUGUGGAUAAAUGGCAAGGAAAUAAGUGUAAUUUUUCUACAUAAGCCUCCUCUUACUUGGGAUGUAGAUGCUGCUUCCAUCAGCUGUCAUGACUACCUCAGUUGA
rnacentral:lncRNA from 1 species